ensembl:lncRNA
AGGCGCCGCGCCGCCCCCUAACGAGCCCCGGCAGCGGGGGGGGGGGCAACCCCCAGGGACCGCGGCACCCGCUGGGGCCCGAAUUUGGGGGCUCCACCCCACAAACCCCAAGGAACCCCAAAAUCUCCUUCACCACCCAAAAACAACCCAACGUUGCCCAACGAUCCCCAACGCCGGGGUCUCCGUCCCGUAACGACCCCCAAGGAGUCUCCAUCGCUCGGCGAACCCCGGCGUUGGGAUCUUCCAUCGCCCUACGAGACCCAACUCCUCCUCCAUGACCCUACGAACCCCAACGUCUCCACCACCCAGAAAAAUCCAACUUCGGGGUCUCCGCCACCCAAAAAAAAAAUCAACAUCAUCUCCGCCACCCAAAAAAAAAAUCAACAUCUUCUCCGCCACCCAAAAAAAACCAACUUUGGGGUCUCCGCCACCCAAAAAAACCCAACCUCUCAGCCUCCACCACCCUACAAACCACAGCGUCGGGGUCUCCACCACCCAAAAACCCAACCUUGCGGCCUUCACCCCCCAAAAAAGACCCAACCUUGCGGCCUUCACCCCCCAAAAAAGACCCAACCUCGUGGCCUCCACCACCCAAAAACCCAACGCUGGGGUCUCCACCACCCAAAAACCCAACGCUGGGGUCUCCACCACCCAAAAACCCAACGCUGGGGUCUCCACCACCCUACAAACCCCAACAUCUCCUCCACCACCCAAAAACCCAACGCUGGGACCUUCCACCACCCAAAAAAAACAACAAAAAACCAACUUUUGGGUCUCCACCACCCAAAAAAACCCCAACUUUGGGGUCGCCGCCACCCAAAGAAGACCAACGUGGGGGUCUCCGCCACCCAAACCCCAACCUCUCAGCCUCCACCGCCUGCCGAGCCCCCCGCCGCCGCCGCCCUCCCCCACCGCGGGGCUCCCCGGGCGCCCUUCCCCUCCCCGUCACGCCGCCCCCACUGACUUGCCGCCGUGUCCCUCGUGCGGCCCCGCGGCCUCCGUCCCUCCUCCUCCUCCUCCUUCUCCUCCUCCGCCACGGGGCCGCCCGGCGCCCCCGGGGGGCCUCCCGUAGAGGUAGACGGCGGCCAGCACCAUGGCGGUGCCGGCCACGAAGGCGCCGCGGGGCCGGAAGCCGAAGAGGUGCGCGGAGGCGGCGGCGGAGGCCAGGAUGGAGAGGGCGGUGGCGAAGCCCUUGAGGAUGUUGUCGGCGUAGCGCACCACCACGGCCACCAGCAGCCCGCCGGCCGCCUGGUUCAGCACCACGGCCCAGACGGCCGGGCUGUAGCCGUGGAAGAAGCCCACGGCGGCCACGGCGCGGCCCUCGGCGGCCAGCAUGGCGGCCAGCCCCACGGCCGUGCCCACGGCGCCCAGCUGCAGGUUGCGCACCCAGAUGGAGCCCCCCGAGGUCUUGAGCAGCCGCUCGAAGUAGACGCCGGCGAAGCCCGACGACAGGCACGAGGCCCCCACGGCCGCCAGCCCCGUCAGGUAGCUCUGGGGGGGGCCCCCGCCGUCCUCGGGGCCGCCCCCCCCGCCCCCCGGCGGCGGCCGCACCUGCUCGGCCUGCACCAGGGCCACCCCCGCGAAGAGCAGCGCCAGCGAGAACCACUGCAGGCGCGACAGCGACGUCC